rfam:Gossypium hirsutum cultivar TM-1 chromosome 15, whole genome shotgun sequence
AAGCCAUGGUUUGGGCACUUUUUAAGAAGUUCAUUGUAACUUUCCCACACAUCAUACAUAGUAUCCCCAUCAUAUUGAAUGAAAGUGUAAAUAUCCCUUAAAAGUUU